AGUGGUGCAAUUGUAGAUGGCUGCAGCCCUCGACCUCCUGGGCUCAAGUGAUCCUCCUGCCUUAGCCUCUCGAGUAGCUGGGAGUACAGAUGCACACCACCACACCCAGCCUAGAAUGAAGAAACCUGCAGUUGGGAAGCAUGAAUUUACCACCUAUUAAGCCUACUUCAUGCUUUGAACAGAAGAGUUUUAUCAGUUUUAAAUGUUUCUUCAUUUCUAUACCUUCUUUUAUCUGAGGAGCUUAAGCCAUUUUGUAGAGGCAUUAAGUAUUGCCUCAGUCUUAAUAUGUGAGACAAGGUGUGAGGAAUAUAGAGAUUCAUAAAAUAAUCCCCAUCUUCAAGGAACUCACAGUCAGGAAGAACAGAGCCUGCAACACAAAUAAUUGCAAUAUAGUAGAAGUGCCAAUAGGAGCUCUAUGAAGGGCGUGAAACAGGAAAGGCUACAUAGAGGAGAUGGCAGACACUCUGUGGAUUGUGACCUGUUGGUGGGCCAUGAAAUCAAUUUGGGGGUUUGAGAGCAUCAUUCUUUUAAUAAAACAGAAGAGAAUCAUCUGCAAUAAGGAACCCAUGGAUGAAUACCAUCUGGUCCUGGUGAUUUACUGCACAGAGUCCCUCAAGUUGCUCCAUACCUUUCUCCUGAGAGACUGAAGAAUCUCUGUCAAGGCCGUUCUCUGCUUUGCCAUAAAAUGUGUCCUUGGAACAAGAAUUUCCCCAUUGUCUUCUUCAAUAAAUACUGAUUCAAAGUA
rnacentral:lncRNA from 1 species